rnacentral:rRNA from 1 species
UAGUUCAGCACUAAGUCACUUUGUCUUAAUGGCAAAUGUGAGAUGCAGUGUAUGGAAUGUCAAAUUUCUAGUAUGAGAAAUUAACGAUUUAAGUCCUUCUUAAAUGAGGCCAUUUACCCAAAGAGGGUGCCAGGCCCGUAUAACGUUAAUGAUUACUAGAUGGCAUUUCCAAAGAGUCGUGUUGCUUGAUAGUGCAGCACUAAGUGGGUGGUAAACUCCAUCUAAAACUAAAUAUAACCAUGAGACCGAUAGUAAACAAGUACCGUGAGGGAAAGUUGAAAAGAACUCUGAAUAGAGAGUUAAAUAGUACGUGAAACUGCUUAGAGGUUAAGCCCGAUGAACCUGAAUAUCCAUUAUAGAAAAUUCAUCAUUAUGAUUUUAAUAUUUAUAAUAUUAUAAUAAUGGUGUGCAUUUUUUCUAUAAAAGGACAUUGUAAUCUAUUAACAUCAAAUAUUUAUCAAAAGAUCAAUUGCAAAUGUUUAUUCAAAUUAUUUUGCUUGCAAUUUAACAUAGAAUAAAUGCUUUUGAUUUGAUAAAGUGUUGAUAGAUUUAUUAUAUAUAGUGCUUGAAUAUUUAUAUUCUAUAAUAGCAUAUUAAUCAUUGAUUUUUAUGUUUAUUAUAUGCACUUAUAUGAUUAACAAUGCGAAAGAUUCAGGAUACCUUCGGGACCCGUCUUGAAACACGGACCAAGGAGUCUAACAUAUUUGCAAGUUAUUGGGAAUAAAAACCUAAUAGCGAAAUUAACAUAACUUAUUUAAUGGGAUUAAUUUUUAGCCUAUUUAUAGUCUAUUAAUUCAAUCCCGGGGCGUUCUAUAUAGUUAUGUAUAAUAAUAUUUAUAUUAUUUAUACCUCUAACUAGAGCGUACCUUGAGCAUAUAUGCUGUGACCCGAAAGAUGGUGAACUAUACUUGAUCAGGUUGAAGUCAGGGGAAACCCUGAUGGAAGACCGAAACAGUUCUGACGUGCAAAUC